UUUAGCUUCUUCCUGUCUGCUACUGACACAAACAGCCCUUGCUCAUUUAUUAGCAGCUGUGCAGCCAAUUAUCUCCCUGCCCCCUUUCCUGUGUUCUACCAGCAGCUUCGGCCAUGCACAGGGGAGGAGAGGUAGGGAGGCAAAGGGGGGAGGAGAGGAGAGAGAGAGAGAGAAGGGGAGUGUUCCUCUCCUCUGACAUCGUCAUAAAGGAAUCCCCUCUGCUAGGCUGAGCCCGCCUACUUGCUUACUCUCACCCCGUCUGGCUCCCAGACACACUCGCGUUCACACACACUCCUGUCUGCACGGCCAAAGCAGGAACGGACUGACAAGGAAAAAAGGACAAAGAGUGGGAGACGCGGAGACAUUGCGAGAGAGACGGGAGAUGGGAUGGGGACUGUGAAGGUCAACUUUUAGAGUGUGACAUUGAAGAGCGUGAAGAACAAGAGGGAGAGGAAAAGGAGUAAAAACUGUUGUCUCAGAGGGGCAAUUCAGCAGUUCCUGCAACCUGUUGAUCAGGACGGGACGUUCACACAGAGUCGGAGUAAAAGUCUGCCUGCUGUUCAAAUGUACUGUGUUGUUGGCACUGGAAUAUUGCCCCGUUAUGAGGUCUGCCACUGUGGACCGGCUCCAUUACAAAGGUCAGAUGAAUACAGUGCCAUUGAAUGGGAUGGUUUCAUUCCUCGCUGCCUAACUCGCUUGUUAAUUUAAAGGUUAUGUACCACCCCCCCGUUUGAGUGAUUUCAGGCAUAAUUGUUUCGCCUCCACCUGUUUCCAUACAGCUUUCUGCUUAUACAGUAUGUUUGUCAUCUGUCUGCCCAUGUGUGUCAUCUGCCUGUCGUCAUGUCUGUCAGUCUGUGUGCCUCUCCUUGGGGUGUUGCUGGCAGCACGGAGCGCUAAGUGAGGUCAUAAAAAGCCUGAGAGGCGUAAUGGCAGUGUUGAAGCAAGGCCGGAGCCGCUCAAACAUUCCUCUCAUUGUUCAGGGGCCCCGUAAGUCUGCGAGCUCCCAAACCUCCAUGAAAGGAAGGGAAUCCAGUGGCUACUGUAGCUAACCCACUUUGAGCUGCAUUUCAGGGCUGGCUCUCUGUCUUCCUGUUUGCCGUCCUGUCUGGUGUGUGUGUGUGUGUGUGUGUGUGUGUGUCGGGGGUGUUGGUAUAGACCAAACUGAGUAGCGGAAGGCAAAAAUGGAACUGAAGGAGGUAAAAGUGAGGUUGACCUAAAGAAGAAGGAUAAGAUAAAGUGGUAUUAAUUUAGCCCCGACAGUGGCGUCUAUCACUUUGCUCCGUAUGCGUCUGGCUGUGACUUCAGAUAACCUCCAUGCCAAAUGACAUGGGAAAGAGAAGGCACGGGUCAAAUGUGUUGUUAUUUUGCCUUCUGCUUUGAGAAGGUGGAAAAAUGGGGUGAUGGAUUGAUGGUGAGAAAGGAUGGGAGGAGCAGAAGAAUGUGGGGAUCUAACCCUCAAGCCUUGGCUUUGGUGGGGUGGUUUGAGUGGGUGGGUGUGCCCGGCAGCAAUCUGUAGGAAUGGGCCCAGGCUCAGGAAACCGUGGCGUAGUGGAAUAAAAGUGUGUGUGUGUGUGUGUGUGCAGCUUCAGCAUCCACUUGUGCAUGUGUGGUUCAGUGGCAGCAGGGCAGCUGUACUCUAAGUACAGGGCUGGUGGUGGUGGUAAGGGUGUUUGGCAAUGAAUCAGGCUGAGGAUAGGAUUACACGCACUGGGCUACAGGGAGUGGACCACGGGCUUGGGCUGGGCUCUUCACUGCUGAGGCUAGCUUUACAGCCCAAAGAGACUUUGAGCUUUUCCCUUUAAAAAAAAAAAGGAGUUGGAAAUACUUCUUUUUUACUUCUCAGACUAAUGUCCCACAUGUGGCGCGUUCCAUUGAUUCCAGGCCAGCCAAUGAACGGUCGCCUUUAAUUUGGGAAAACUGCAACAUAGAAGGCCCAUAGUAGAGGCCUGGGCUCUUGUUUGAAUGUCACUAAAUGUCACAGCCUCAGCAAUGAUUACACCCUCGCACGUAACAUGAAACAAAUACAAUCACAUGCGCACACAUACCCAGACAGACCCUGUCUGGUAGAAAGCAAGUUAAGGUGUGGUGCUGCGUUGUGUUUUAGUUGGCGGGCUUUGCCGUUUCGACUGCAGUUUUGUUGAUCCUGUGGUUGAUUUUCUGGCGGAUUAAAAAUGCAGCCUUGAAUCUGGAUAAUUUUUUUUCUUUUGAUGUGUCAGCUGCUCGCUCCUCAUCAUUUAACCGUUUUUAGGCUUUUCCACCUUUUCUUCCCAGGAGUGAGUUUAAUAGGCGCAACAGAGAAGAUAGCAAUUAUGGAAAGCAGACGUGGCAAAUUUACACCGUAAGAAGGGAAUUAACAUGUUACUGUAACAAUUGUGACUUCAUGUCUUGAACUUAUAGCAUUUACAGAGAAAGAUGAAGCUGUGGCUGGAAACAGCUUCAUCUGGCCCCUGUGAAAAUCAGUGGAAACAUAAAUGACUUGUGCUCGGCUUUGAGAAACAAUUCUUAAUGACAUGCACGAGCCUGGGAAUCGUACUGCUCACUGUUUGUUCUGUUAAGCGGUCCACAGCCUGGAGGUGCGAAUGAUGUCAGCUUGGUAUUUUUACUAUUCACAGUUUAUGAGAAAGAGUGAAAACCAGCUUACGCGAACCACACGUUUGCCACUGACAUCACUGUGUUUGCUCAGUGAUAGUGAACAUAUUGCGUGUGUGUGUGGAGAGUUCGGUAGAUUGCGCUUGGCCUGCGGAGCGUGUGUGCAUUUCUGUGCAAUGCGCACACAAGGACACGGGCAAAGAGAAGAUAUGUGUUGAAACAACAAGGGUUUGAGAUCCAGCUGUCCCAGCAGAGGCUUUUCCACUUAACUGUGUGCCCUUGUGUAAACGGCAAUGUCAAUUCUGAACUCGAGCCGACGAUCUGAGAAAACAGCCAGUGGCCACGUCUGCACUUGGGCCGCCAUACGUCGUGUGCAUGAACAAUAAACACACAUACACACCACGAAACCAUCAAAGAACCCACACAUGAGGCCAUAAUCCACGAAGACAUGCUCUCUAAAAACACUUUAAUUUCACUAGAAUACAUCUGCUGGCAGGCGUCACUCGGUGAUGCUCAUUUUCCAACCCUACGCCUCCGUCGAGGUGCAACAAGUUGCCACGGUUGCGAGCUACCAGUAAGAUGCAGCCUAUAUGCCACAUACUUGUUAUUUCUAAUGAUAAUAAACAUCCAGUAUGAGAAGCCAGUAGCAGGAGGGCCGCCUGUAUCCUCCCCCCAAAAAAAACAAAAAAACAAGGCGAAUGUGAGAUCCUCGCAGAGAGUGUUUGAGGUGAGGUGUUGGACAGCGUGCGUCAACCAGAAUGCCGUCAUUACAGGGGAAGGAAUGAGCUCAUGGACAUUAACGGGCUGCGGGUUUGAGUGGGGGGGGGAGCGAGAAACCGAUGGAAACGAUGAAAAGGCAGAGAAAAUAACACACCAGGAUGAAAAGAGAUGGCGGUAUAAAGGGUUUAAGGUUAAAGGCGGGUAGGAGGUAAAGGGAGCAGUUGUCGUGUCUUUGAUGGAUGCCAAGACCUUAAUUUACCUUCUUUCUUGACAGCAUCUUGUUGUGACCGUGUGGAGACCGGCCUAGGCUUUAAAAAGCGCAACUCGUAAAACAGAAAGGAAAUUAAGAAGACGUACAACUGGGAUCUAAAACGGGCCGCACUGGGUACAUUUUUAUGUUGACAUUUUGGUUUUCUGUUAACCGAGCGAUUAAAAAAACUGUCCCGAAGGCAAUGUAAAUGUACACUUUAGUUUACUGUAGAGUCAAAAAAGUUGAUUUUGAAAGUUAGCGAGAACAGACAAUGCUAUUCUGUUUUCUUCCCAGUAGCACCCAAACACUGAACCUCACUUUGGCCUGGUGAAAACUGGAAAGCUUCCACAUGAGAUGCUGCUUUUAGCUCAAAACGAUGCUCACAACUGGGCUGGAAAAAGUUUGCGUUCUAUUUAUGGAAGCUCUGUCUAAACACUAGAUUUGUGAAACAGAGGUGCCCGCUUUAGUGAUAACAUUUCCCGGCCACUGCCCCAAAGAGACAACAGACAGCCAGCUAAAGCUUAUUUAGAGUCUGGAGUUCCCACUGACUCAUACCUUGUACACAGCAAAAUAUUCAAGCUGCUGAAAAUAAGAGCAACUCAAAGGAGGGCGGCAAAAUGAGCGGAUCAGCCGGGAUCUGGAGACUGGAAUGGUGUUCAUUAAAUAAAGUUUAUCCUGUCCAGACAAGUGAAAUUCAACCAAAAGAAAUUCACAGCAUUAUGUUGUGCUCCGGGGCGGGAUGGCUGUGUGUGCUUCUCUUCUUCUCCUUUUUUUUUCUUUUAAGGAAUACGCAGGAUCAGACUUUAUGUUUUCACAAUGUAUAAAAGCAAAGGUUCUCUAUGCAACAUGAAAAUCCCUAACAAUUUCUUAAGAGAUUUUGCUGUAACUUAGCAGCAGAGGAAACAUGCUCCAGUGCUCUUUUUCUCAUUUUGUUUUGUCUUUGGUUUUCCCCUGUUCACAAGGGGCACAGAUAAAGGGUGCAGGGUAAGCGUCUGUUAAAGGCAGUGCCAUUCGAGUGGCCACUUCCUUCUAACCUAAUUCUCCAUUCUGUCAUUGAAAAGCUAUUUUUAUAAGAGGCCACGGGAAGUCUGGGAGUUGACAAGGACCACGUACAGUGCACACAGGGUUGAGAAAAUGCAGUGACUGACCUGCGAAUGACAAACAUGUGACAGAGCCAGACUGCUCUCUAUGUGUAUUGGGGGGGUUAAAGAAGAAGGGAGCUGCUGCUUAAAAAGGUGACAGUGAUGCUCGAGUCUUAUUGUGGUAUUUAUUACUGCGCAUGCUUUGAAGUCUUCUUUCCACCACAGACCGUCCAGCUCUAUCUGUUGGCCAGGGGAAUUCCUGGCAGAGUGAUUUUUUUUAAACUAGAGGACUGAAUCACAUUGCCAGGGAUUUCCAAUGGCUGACACGAAGAAAGCAGCCUCUUCGUCGCACGCGCGCCAAUUUGCCAACUCAUACACAGUCACUCAUUUGCAUACACACAUAGAAACGUCUCCUUUCUGUGUCACAAACAGAUGCCCGUCGAAGCCUGGCUGUGCGGCAGCAGGACUUAACCCACAUGUGAACAGUGAGUGUCUGCCAUGUUCACAGUGGUUAAGUUCUGCCGCCACAGGGCUGCAGCCUGCAGGGGACAAGGGAGAGGAGUAAAGGUCAGGGAGGGGCCGCACUGCAUCAAAAACACCACUCUCCACAUCAACACCAGGCUUCACAUGAGCAUGAUCUCGUCCCAUGACUAUAUCCUCCCAACAAAAAUCUGCUUUUUUAUAUAAAAUGUGGAUCUAGCCGCCUGUUCGAUGAUUUACUUAAGAACCUGUGACCUUCUUUGGCACUUGAACCCAACAACAACAAAGCAAAAAAGAUCUUUAUCUGUCACACCAUCGCCCAUUUUUUUCUGUUAUCUCAUCGCUGCCCUGCUUUCUCAAGCGGUUUAUAGAAACUUGAGCAGCAAACUCAGUGAGUCUAUUUUUCCUUAAAGGAAGCUUUUCAGGAAGUCUGCCACACAAACCCGGCACCCAUCAAAGGAAGUGUCAAAAAAGCCAAUUUCACCUAAAUGACAGCAAAUGCUGUGCCAUACUGCAAAUUUUGGUAUCGAUCCGAUACCAAAAUACAGAGCCAGAAUUAUCAAUGCUGCUACUUUUAACUGAUAAAUGCAGCUUAUGUAGGGGAGUGUGUCAUGACUUAUGAGAUGAAUUACCACAAUAAUCACUCAGUACAACAAAUCAGCGUUUCAUGUGGCUGUCUCUAAAGCACUCUGGAUCAGCUUCUGUCCUUUAAAUGUGCUACGUACUGAACAUAAGGAUAGAAGAGUAUCGGUCCAAUUGUGCUAGUAUCCAUCUGAUACCAACACCAGUAUUGGUAUCGAUACUAUCAAUAUUUGAAUCGAUCCACUGCCCGCUACUAGAAAGCAUCACGUUGCCGGUAACGAGGCAAAUACGUCCUACUCCUCAACAGCCAGAUUGAUCCUUUGACUUUAUUUUUACGAGCUUUCCUGAUCGUUGCUAAAUUGACAACAUGUGUCGGAGGCUGUGUGUGUGCACGCGCGUGCGGGAGUACUCCAUGGAUGACUCAGUAGUGUUACGAGUCGGCACUGUGAUGUGGCUGAGUGGGAUGCAUGGGAACAGGUAUCGCACUCCAUUAUGAGCGAGUGCCUGGCAAAAACAGCUAAUCUGGUGAAUUAGCCGAAAUUGUUCGGUCUCAGUGUGUCAGAGCCUGAUAAAUGUCAGGCGUCUCAUUAGUGUCGAAGGCUGCUCCCGUUCCUGUUGGGCGGGCAAUAUGUCAUCUUGUGUUGUCGGGUGUAUUGCUAGCUGCCAGGCUCUCUCUGGUGUGUGUGUGUGUGUGUGUGUGUGUGUGUGUGUGUGUGUGUGUGUGUGUGUGUGUGUGUGUGUGUGUGUGUGUGUGUGUGUGUGUUAGUUUCACUUCUACCUGUUGAUUUCUGCAUGAGCAUCAGUGUCUGUUUGGCUCGUUGUUGUGUGUCUGUGUUUAUGUGUGUGUGACCACCUCUGUCCCCUCCUCCUCACCCCCCCGCUGGGUCGGUCUCCUGUGCCUGCUGUGCUGAUAAUCAGUGUGUGACGUCGGCUGGCUCAGUUCAGCAGGAACAGGGGACUGUUCUCAUUUCCACACUCUUUCUCUCUCACACACACACAAACACACACACACACUUUAAUGUCAGUUUAAUAACAACAUUAACACCAGCGUGUUUUCUUUAGUUAUGCAGCUCUUUUUCAUGACAUACACAGACCUUUAAAAGCAUAUAACCAUAAAAGCUUAUAAUGUAUUAUAAAUGUUAGAAAUUUUUUAAACUGUAUUUUUAGGGUUUCUUUCUUUGUUUUUUGUACCGUGAUCUAUGAAAAUGAAAAAAUAUAUCAAUUAAUUAAGUCUGUUUAAGUAUAUUUGAAUCUUUUUUGGAAAAAUAAAACUUGUUUUGGAAAAAAAAGAAGACCUGUGCAUUUGUGUUCUGUGACUCAUUCCUUCACCUAUCAAAUAAACCUCUUUAACCUUUGCGUCUCUCACUUGCUCUCCAUCACUUUCUUUGUCUUUCUUAUCUACGCUGAGGUCGCAAGCAGGAAAUCAGAUAUGCGGCAAAUGGCCACCAAUCAGCAGGUAAAAGUUACACCGCGCCUGCUUACGUUCGCCUGUGAAACCAGAGAGCGAAUGAAAUCACUCGGCUCUGGUUUUUUUGUGUGGCGGUGAACUUAAUUUGUAGGCUAUGUUUCUAUUGUGUACAGAAAUUCAUAUUGCUUAAAUCCAAAGAGCUUUCUGUGCCAUUACGCAACAAUAAGCUUUUACUUCCUACGGAUUUCGCACAGUCUGUCACGCUUACCACACAACUGAAAGAUUUGUGACAACAGAGGUGUGUGUGUCUGUGUGUGUCUGUCUGUGUGGGGGGGCAAAAUCAAGAAAUUGACAGGCAGCAGUUUCAACUUUCAAAAUAAAGAAAAAGUGCAAAAUUCAUCACUAUUCUAACUCAAAACUACACUCAUAAUUCAUCAAUCCGUGUCCACAUUAUAAAGAAAACAAGCACUAAUGUGGAGAAGGGGGGGGAAAUGGACAUUUCUACACAAAAACCAUAAAAUAUAUAUAUAUAUAUAUAUAUAUAAACAAUGGUUAUGAGAAGAGGACAAAGGAAAGUCUUACACUGUUUUCCAUUUUUUCAUUUGUGCUUUAGUUAGGAUGUACUUUUUGUUUCCACAGCGACCUGAAAGUGAAAAAAGUACAGUGAGAGCUAUGAGUGUAAAGGUUUCACAUCUCUCUUUUUUUUAACAGUUUAAUCAUCACCCUUACCUCAUUCAUGGACAUGUCAGAAUUCAUUCAUUUAGCUAAAUGCAGUUACACCUCGGUAAUUUUAACAAGAGCCUGUAAGAGAUAUAAAAACCCUCAUGCAUCUUCUCCAUGCAGAGUCCAGGUUUAUUUCGGUGCUGUUAGGCAUUUAUUUGUUGUUGCUCUUUCACACCGUUUUGACCACAUCCUCAGCCCAUAGACAUUUUAUAAAAAUACUUGUAAAAACACCCACCGAAAGCCUACACAAAAAUACAGCAGGAAGUGUGACAAACAUGACUGUAUUGCAGGGUUAAGUUUUUUUUGUACAUUUUUAACUUGAGCUAGCUUUCAACCUUUCCUGAGCUUUGCCUUAAACAAGGUAUAAAAAGUGGUCUUACUAUAAAUGAGCAAAAGGGUGCUUUUAAUAAAGUACUAAAGUAUUGCUAGAGUAUUUUUAUUAAAUAGAAAUCAGUUCACUUCUAUAUCAGUUUCUCUCAAUUUGUACCCCUUUAAUUACUCUUCCACAUUGUUAAAUUUAUUAUUGCUCUCCUAUCAAAUUUCUUUACAAAUUAUACUUUUUUUUAAAUAACAAAAGAGACACUUAACAAAUGUGCAUGAAAAUGUUAACCAGCUAUUAAUAUUAACUUUAUUUAUAUGGCACUUUUCAAAACACGGCGUUACUAUGGGUUAUUUUUCCACGCAGACAUGAAAGAUGUUUCACGGCGGCAGCUUUAGAGAACAUCAAUACUAUUAAACACAAUUUGUAAUCAUUUAGAGCAGGCAUGACAAACUCACUACUUUGAUCUUAAGCGUGUCGGAUCAGUCAAACUCCUAUUUUCUGUCAGUGUAAAGAAACUAAACUACACAACUGUGAGAUGAGGAAAAGAUGUGCAAUUUCAAUAACACGUCUCGGUUUUUGUACAUAAUAGAAAGAUGCUGCUGUUGAAAACAAAAGAAACCUGUGAGCGUGGAUCUUUCUGUAAGAAAUAAAUGUGUAGAGUUACUGAAAAUGGCAUUGCUCAGACUAUCCUGUGAUUAUAAAGUACACAUUUUUAUUUAUGUAUUUUUUGUUUACCACGAACCCAUUCUAAAAACAAACAAACAAAUAACUGGAAAACUGGAACUUUUCUAUCAUUUAAUUGUUUAGCUGUUUAGCUUUAAUUAUGUUUGUGUAACAUGAAUAACCCAAGGUUAGGUAUUUAUCAGUUGAGGAGCUGUAAAAAAAAAAAGAAAGAAAGAAAGAAAAGAAAAGAAAAGAAAAUACAGUUAAAGGACCAAAAGGACCAAAAUUCAUGUCCUCCCUUACAUUUUCCAAAAUGGUCAUUUGGGCCACAAUGGAGUCUUUGCUGGGCCAUUUCUGGCCCCCAGGCCUUAUGUUUGAGUGCAGUAAAUAAGAGCUUAGAAACUACUAAAUGGAACAGUGCACGACUCCCAU
ensembl:lncRNA